rnacentral:sRNA from 1 species
AGACAAGCCGGGCCCCGGACCUCCUCCACUCCAGAUGCCCGCAGAUGACAAGGAUAAUUAAGCAGACCGACUUCAGGCUUCCUGUCCCCAGCACUUUGAUCGGAGGACGAGAUGCCAGCUCGCAGUGGGUUCGUGAGUCCCCGGGUGCUGAAACUGCUUGUUUUGUCCGACUCUGCAAGCUUGCUCCCUCCCACUGAAAUCUUGGAGCUGCGUUAUGGCGAGUUGCAGGAAUCCCACGGAGGAAGAGCUGGAGAAAAGUCCUACAGAAAAUCCUGUGAGGAGGAUAUCUUCAUUCCCAUGUGAAGAAAUGUUCCAGAAGGCUAGAAGCUGUUCUGUGGUUCCGUUAAGAUGCAAAGAGUUUUUAAACUUUUUUUUGUUUAUUUGU